ensembl:rRNA 5S_rRNA 5S ribosomal RNA
GUACUUGGAUGGGAGACCGCCUGGGAAU